AUGUCAGCCGCCGCGGUAAGACGGAGGAUGCAAGCGUUAUCCGGAAUUAUUGGGCGUAAAGCGUCCGUAGGCGGUUUAUCAAGUCUGUCGUUAAAGACUGCAGCUUAACUGUGGGCGAGCGAUGGAAACUGAUGAACUGGAGUGCGGUAGGGGUAGAGGGAAUUCCCAGUGUAGCAGUGAAAUGCGUAGAUAUUGGGAAGAACACCAGUGGCGAGGGCGCUCUACUGGGCCGCAACUGACGCUGAGGGACGAAAGCUAGGGGAGCGAAAGGGAUUAGAUACCCCUGUAGUCCUAGCUGGAAACGAUGGAUACUAGGUGUUGGGCGUAUCGACCCGUUCAGUACCGAAGCCAACGCGAUAAGUAUCCCGCCUGGGGAGUACGCACGCAAGUGUGAAACUUAAAUGAAUUGGCGGGG
rnacentral:rRNA from 1 species